UACUUUUAGGGUAUUUAAUGAUUUUAAAAUGGAGCUGCCAAUUUUGAUAGUAAACAGAUUGAAUGCAGAUUCCAGUUACCUUUACUCAGCAAUACUAGUUGGAAGUACAGAAACAGCAAAUUUAAUUACAGAAAGGAGAAGAACUUAACAUGUAUCCUUUAUUCCUGAUUUUUAUUUAUAUUUGAAACUGAACAGCGAGCAUCAUUAAGCCAUGGUGAACAAUGUGUAUCUAAAUACAAUUAUUGAAUUAAGACAAUGAAAUGCUUAAGGGUAUUAGUGAACAUGAGGAGGAGGGGGUGGGGGUGGGAACCAUUUUGAUUGUAAUUUAACAAUCUAAGCAGCCAUUAAAAAUGGCCAACAAGUUUGCUAGUAGUAAGUACUAGUAUCUAAUUUUGAUAGGAGUUUUAACGAUCCGACAUUAAAAUAAAUACAAGUCAAUUUUUUUUAAUGGGAACUUGACAGCCAUUUAAAUAAGCUAUUAAACACAGUGAUCGGGAAGGACAUCCGCCUUGCGCCAAUUGCCCUUUUCGACCAGAAAUGCCACAUAGAGUGACAAAUGUAAGUGCCCACGUGGCGCACAAUAUUUUCCACUCCGUUUUGAAACAUUUGAUAUCGUAAAAUGGAUUUCCGAUUGUGUUUCGUGUCGCCAUGUGUAUGUACAAAACUGUGUAGUGUUACCGCCUAUAUAUAUUUUUUGGACGUCUCGAUUGUUUUCCUAUGGAAAUAACAGCAACAUGCGGUAUAACUGAUUACCCCAAAAUAACAUUUAUUGUAAAUAAAAGACUUUUUGGCUGGAAUUUCCGAUAAUAUUGAUUUUAUUAAUGCCAUGUGUGUAAGAAGGCAUUUCUUUGUUUAAGUAUAUCAACAUGAGGUCAAGGACUGCAUGUUCAAUGCAUGAUCAUCUAAUUACAUUAUCUGAUUGGUCAGUUCUUGAGAUCGGUAAUUAAUAUCAAAUUUCUACAUGUGCUCGGACAUGCGGUCAUUCGCCUUUGUUUUGGGAGAGAGAAAAGGUCGUUUUUGAAUUUUAUCUGAAAACCCUCCCAUUUCCCUCCCUUUUAAGCGUUAUUAUAUAGGACAUUUAUUUUUCUUUAUACAUCAAUUAAGGACAAUAUUCAUUGUAUUGUUUAUAUACUUUGUAUAUAUAUAUGUUGGUGAGUUAAUUUUUUCAACUCACUUUUAUUUUUGUCAUUUUUAUGAUGUUCAUUAUGUUAGGGUGUGGCACUUUUUCAACCCCACCUUUGCUUAUUAAAGUCAUUGUCAUUUAUGCAGUACUAUUAUAAUUGUUAAGAUGUAAGUUGCGUUUUAAAUUAAUUUCUGAAUAAAUGACAUUUUACUCAACUUGUGUUUUAUUAACAGCAAACAUAGCUCAGACUCUUUGAUCUAGGUCAUUUAUACAAGGUUUUCUCGUUGUUAUCUGUGUCUAGGAACAUUAGCUGACAAAAAACGUAAUUGUUACCAUCAUUCAUGAUAUAAUUUUUAUAAACAACUUUACAUUUGUGAAGUUUGGCAAGUACUGACGAGAAUUUUUCCCUUAUUAUAAUCUUUAAAAUAAGCUUGCUAUUAUUUCAAUUGAAAUACACAAAAGCCUUUGUAUGAAUGUAGUAUUUGUCUCUAUAAAAGGUGCUGAACUUAAUUUUUUUUUUUUUUUUUUUUUUUUUUUUUU